rnacentral:rRNA from 1 species
GACGAACGCUGGCGGCGUGCUUAACACAUGCAAGUCGAGCGGUAAGGCCCUUUCGGGGGUACACGAGCGGCGAACGGGUGAGUAACACGUGGGUGACCUGCCCUCAGCUCUGGGAUAAGCCUGGGAAACCGGGUCUAAUACCGGAUAUGACUCCAUGACGCAUGUUGUGGGGUGGAAAGCCUUGUGCGGCUGAGGAUGGGCCCGCGGCCUAUCAGCUUGUUGGUGGGGUGAUGGCCUACCAAGGCGACGACGGGUAGCCGGCCUGAGAGGGCGACCGGCCACACUGGGACUGAGACACGGCCCAGACUCCUACGGGAGGCAGCAGUGGGGAAUCUUGCGCAAUGGGCGAAAGCCUGACGCAGCGACGCCGCGUGGAGGAUGAAGUCCCUU